UACGGAGGGGGCUAGCGUUGUUCGGAAUUACUGGGCGUAAAGCGCACGUAGGCGGCUUUGUAAGUUAGAGGUGAAAGCCCAGGGCUUAACCCUGGAAUUGCCUUUAAGACUGCAUCGCUCGAAUUGUGGAGAGGUGAGUGGAAUUCCGAGUGUAGAGGUGAAAUUCGUAGAUAUUCGGAAGAGCACCAGUGGCGAAGGCGACUCACUGGACACAUAUUGACGCUGAGGUGCGAAAGCGUGGGGAGCAAACAGG
rnacentral:rRNA from 1 species